AAUCCGCUAAGGAGUGUGUAACAACUCACGGGCCGAAUGAACUAGCCCUGAAAAUGGAUGGCGCUCAAGCGUGCUACCCAUACCUCGCCGUCGGGGUAGAAACGACGCCCCGACGAGUAGGCAGGCGUGGGGGUCCGUGACGAAGCCUUGGGAGUGAUCCCGGGUCGAACGGCCCCUAGUGCAGAUCUUGGUGGUAGUAGCAAAUACUCAAAUGAGAACUUUGAGGACUGAAGUGGGGAAAGGUUCCAUGUGAACAGCAGUUGGACAUGGGUUAGUCGAUCCUAAGGCAUAGGGAAGUUCCGUUUGAAAGGCGCCCUCGUGCGCCGUGUGCCGAAAGGGAAGCCGGUUAACAUUCCGGCACCUGGAUGUGGAUUCUCCACGGCAACGUAACUGAACGCGGAGACGUCGGCGGGGGUCCUGGGAAGAGUUCUCUUUUCUUCUUGACAGCCUUCCACCCUGAAAUCGGUUUGUCCGGAGCUAGGGUUCCAUGGCUGGCAGAGCCCCGCACCUUUGCGGGGUCC
rnacentral:rRNA from 1 species